rnacentral:lncRNA from 1 species
UCAGAAACUUAAAAAAAACACAGUUUGACAAUAUGACAUGCAAAAAGCUGUGACAUAUAUAUUGUGAUGGUUUGUGACUGCAGAACAAAUGCAAAUGUACACUAUUUGUUCUAGGGUGCUUAAGCAGCACUUUAAAUAAAUAUUGCUA